rnacentral:sRNA from 1 species
GUGUUUUAUUGAAAUAAAGCCUUGUUUCUAAGGUACUCAAAACAUGGAUGAAAAGUUAGCUAACCAUCUAGAACUCAAGAUAUCUAUUAUUUCUUUCUGCUGAAGUUUUCAUAGCAAGUAAUUCUACAUUAUGGUGUGAGUUUUCAGAACAUGGAUGAAAAGGAACAUGACCAUCUAGAAUUCAUGUCAUUAGGUCAUAUUUAUAAAGUAUACUGAACUAGCAAUCACUAUGCAUGUUAUGAUAGAGAUAAGUUUCUUAUUUAUUUUUUGUGAUAUAGUGAGAUGAUUCUGUUGUGCAUUCAUAUUCUCAAAAACAACUAAACUUAACACACACUGGCAGUUUGUGAUUAAAAAAAAUAUUUCAGACUGAGGUGAUUUGUGUGAUUUAUUUUUUUAUUAUAAUUUUAAGCACACAAAAGUUUCCACAAACUUGUUGAUGCCAACCAUAUAUUCACAGUAAUAUGCAAGAUGAAAGCCAAUAAAGAUGUAAUGAAUGUGAAAUUACAAAAAGAAAGUAUCACUUUACAUCUAGCCUAAAACCUAACAACAUACUGAUCAGCCCUUGACCAAUCUUGUUACAAGUUGAGGUCUAAUAGUAUUAAAAAAUGUGUUGGUUAUAAUAAGGUAUGGUCUUCUGUCUGGAAGAUUAAGGAUGACAAAUUUUACAUGAUCAUUUGUGACCUUCAUAUAUUACCACAUCUAUUGCAGACAAAGCUGCUACACACCCUAACCCUAAAUUAUCUUUUCAUCAUCUGUGCCUGUUUUUAGCAAGGUCUCUUUUCUGGGUCUCAAAUGUGUGUUCAGUGACCAUCAUGAGAGCUAUGUAGUCUUCUCUUUCAGAGAUACUGCCAGAUGCUUUCUUAUAUAAAUCGAGACAUUUUAAAUUUCA